UUUAGCCUACGGGGGGCAGCAGUGGGGAAUAUUGGGCAAUGGAGGAAACUCUGACCCAGCAACGCCGCGUGAAGGAUGAAGGUUUUCGGAUUGUAAACUUCUGUCGCGAGGGACGAAGAAUGACGGUACCUCGUAAGAAAGCCCCGGCAAACUACGUGCCAGCAGCCGCGGUAAUACGUAGGGGGCGAGCGUUGUCCGGAAUGACUGGGCGUAAAGGGAGUGUAGGCGGCUCUUUAAGUUAUAUGUGAAAUCCCGCGGCUUAACCGUGGAAGUGCAUAUAAAACUGGGGAGCUGGAGUGCAGGAG
rnacentral:rRNA from 1 species